CCGGGAGCCGUCGCUUUGGCCACCGGCGUAAACAGGGCGGGCAUGAGCGGGCCCGGUACGCCCGCGGGCUCCGGCUCCCCGCGGCCCGCCACCCUCCUGCGCCGCCUCCGACACAGUGAAGCCAAAAGGCUGGAAUUAGAAAGAAAACUGAUGGAGUACAAGAAGUCUGAUGCAUACCUAAUGAAACUGAAAUACAUGAAGCUGAAAAACUGCUUGAGAGAAGUAGUUGAACGACAGAAUCGAGCUCUUCAGAGGAACCAGGCCCUUUUCAAGGAGUUGGACCAGCUGGAAACUCAUCUGAAAACUUCAGGUUCAGCAAUGAUCCAGAAGAUGGAAGUAACUUUCUAUAAGACCUAAUAUGCAUGGUAUGGAAGAGAAAUUAAAAGUGUUAUCACUUCAAGAGGGUAACUUGUCAGCAGAAGGUGAUGAGCAAGAAGAAUGCAGUGAGCAGAUGCUGCAGAUUGGAAGACCAACAGGAAUCAGCACCCAGCCAGCCAUGCCAAGAGGACUGCAUCACCUAGCAGCAGUCUUUAUGGCUCACCAGACAUCAGCUGUCAUGGAUGCUGGGGGUUUGGGCAUGCAGCAGAAACCCCUCCAGAUCAGAAGCAGUUUCCUGGCAUCAGAUCUGCCUUUGUGCUCUCCAUCACCUGUAAGACUAGGUCCAGAGAGCAGAAGCACUGAUUUAACAAAUGAUGCAUCACUAGAGGAAGCAGUGAAACAUGGGGACCUGGCUGACAGUGAGGAAAGCUCUGAGCAGCUCAUCUCCUCAGCAUCUAGUCCUAAACCAGCCACUCAUGAGGAGGAACAGCCACGAGGAGUC